CUGUGAAUUCCGUUUUUACGGUAGUUUCAUCAUGAACAUUUCAGUGUGCUUCUUAGAAAAGAGCACGCUAGAUCCCCCAUCUAUGAGCUUGUUCCUGCAAUCCUGCCUCUGGUAUUUCUAUUCCUACAAAAGCUAAUUGUUGAGAUGAUUAUGUUAAACUUUCCUGCCCAGAAGCCAGAAGCAGAAAAGGCGUUGUCGUACAUCAUAAUAGUUCGUAGAUCUUCAUUUUUCUUAGUUGACCCGUUGGCUGCUACCGUUAGCUAAUCCAUGUUAGUUAAUUUCACAUGUGGUUGGGGUGUGGAAUCCUGGUGUUGCUGAAUACUAGCUCCGGUCACAUUUUGUCUUCAUGGGGAUGCCUUUUGUUGCCAUACUUUCCCGCCAGAAGCCGUUCUUUAGUGAAAAGUUGGAGGAGUUUAAUCUAAAAAUCUUCAACACUAUGUCUAUGUGUUACGUCCCCUGAGAUUGCUAGUCCACAGCCGAUGUCGGUCUAGUCUACAACGCAGUUUCUUUAUGGAAUCGUGUGGUCCUGGCACGGAGAUCCUUGAGCCAAUGCUGGCUUUUGUCCAUGAGAGAAGAGUGGCUUCCACCAACGUUCUGCUCCAUCUGUAUCUUCGCGACGUACGAUCAACCAGCUUCCCUACUUUUUAUGCUAAUACAACUUGUCUUACUUCACUGGCGAGUUGGAUCACUUCAGUGUUCGCUUCCGUCACACCUGCAGUCACUCGCGACGGGAUUAUGCCCAGGUACCCGACAAUUGAUUUACUUUCGUAGAUUAUCUACUAAUUAUCUACUUGCGUUAAACUUUGUGUUUGUGUAAUAAUUCCAA